GGGGCAGCUACACAUGCAGUCGAGCGGAGAGAGGUAGCUUGCUACUGAUCUUAGCGGCGGACGGGUGAGUAAUGCUUAGGAAUCUGCCUAUUAGUGGGGGACAACAUUUCGAAAGGAAUGCUAAUACCGCAUACGUCCUACGGGAGAAAGCAGGGGAUCUUCGGACCUUGCGCUAAUAGAUGAGCCUAAGUCGGAUUAGCUAGUUGGUGGGGUAAAGGCCUACCAAGGCGACGAUCUGUAGCGGGUCUGAGAGGAUGAUCCGCCACACUGGGACUGAGACACGGCCCAGACUCCUACGGGAGGCAGCAGUGGGGAAUAUUGGACAAUGGGCGCAAGCCUGAUCCAGCCAUGCCGCGUGUGUGAAGAAGGCCUUAUGGUUGUAAAGCACUUUAAGCGAGGAGGAGGCUACUUUAGUUAAUACCUAGAGAUAGUGGACGUUACUCGCAGAAUAAGCACCGGCUAACUCUGUGCCAGCAGCCGCGGUAAUACAGAGGGUGCAAGCGUUAAUCGGAUUUACUGGGCGUAAAGCGCGCGUAGGCGGCUAAUUAAGUCAAAUGUGAAAUCCCCGAGCUUAACUUGGGAAUUGCAUUCGAUACUGGUUAGCUAGAGUGUGGGAGAGGAUGGUAGAAUUCCAGGUGUAGCGGUGAAAUGCGUAGAGAUCUGGAGGAAUACCGAUGGCGAAGGCAGCCAUCUGGCCUAACACUGACGCUGAGGUGCGAAAGCAUGGGGAGCAAACAGGAUUAGAUACCCUGGUAGUCCAUGCCGUAAACGAUGUCUACUAGCCGUUGGGGCCUUUGAGGCUUUAGUGGCGCAGCUAACGCGAUAAGUAGACCGCCUGGGGAGUACGGUCGCAAGACUAAAACUCAAAUGAAUUGACGGGGGCCCGCACAAGCGGUGGAGCAUGUGGUUUAAUUCGAUGCAACGCGAAGAACCUUACCUGGCCUUGACAUAGUAAGACUUUCCAGAGG
rnacentral:rRNA from 1 species